AACGAACGCUGGCGGCAUGCCUAACACAAGCAAGUCGAACGAGAUCUUCGGGUCUAGUGGCGCACGGGUGCGUAACGCGUGGGAAUCUGCCCUUUGGUUCGGAAUAACAGUUGGAAACGACUGCUAAUACCGGAUGAUGACGAAAGUCCAAAGAUUUAUCGCCAGAGGAUGAGCCCGCGUAGGAUUAGCUAGUUGGUGUGGUAAAGGCGCACCAAGGCGACGGUCCUUAGCUGGUCUGCGAGGAUGAUCAGCCACACUGGGACUGAGACACGGCCCAGACUCCUACGGGAGGCAGCAGUGGGGAAUAUUGGGCAAUGGGCGAUAGCCUGACCCAGCACUGCCGCGUCAGUGAUGAAGGCCUUAGGGUUGUAAAGCUCUUUUACCCGGGAUGAUAAUGACAGUACCGGGAGAAUACGCUCCGGCUAACUCCGUGCCAGCCGCCGCCGUAA
rnacentral:rRNA from 1 species